UACGAAGGGUGCAAACGUUAUUCGGAAUCACUGGGCUUAAAGAGUCCGUAGGCGGCAUGUUAGGUGAGGUGUGAAAUCCCCCGGCUCAACCGAGGAAUUGCGCUUCAAACCGGCGUGCUUGAGGAAGAUAGAGGUGGGCGGAACUGAUGGUGGAGCGGUGAAAUGCGUUGAUAUCAUCAGGAACACCGGAGGCGAAGGCGGCCCACUGGGUCUUUUCUGACGCUGAGGGACGAAAGCUAGGGGAGCGAACGGG
rnacentral:rRNA from 1 species